rnacentral:rRNA from 1 species
AACGAACGCUGGCGGCGCGCCUAACACAUGCAAGUCGAACGAGAAUCCGGGGCAACCCGGUAGUAAAGUGGCAAACGGGUGAGGAAUACAUGGGUAACCUACCCUUGAGAAGGGAAUAACCCGCCGAAAGGUGAGCUAAUACCCUAUACGCUAUCUUUUUUUCGAAAGGAAUAGGAAAGACCGGGUCGAGGACCUGGUACUCAAGGAGGGGCGUCAUGUCCUAUCAGCUUGUUGGUGGGGUAACGGGCCUACCAAGGCUACGACGGGUAGCUGGUCUGAGAGGAUGAUCAGCCACACUGGCACUGAGAUACGGGCCAGACUCCUACGGGAGGCAGCAGUGAGGAAUAUUGCGCAAUGGGCGAAAGCCUGACGCAGCGACGCCGCGUGGGGGAGUGAAGGUUUUCGGUAUUGUAAACCCCUUUCCUAUGAGGAAAGAAUAAAGUAGGGUAACCGACUUAGACGGUACCUCAAGAAGAAGCCACGGCGUAACUUCGUGCCAGCAGCCGCGGUAAAGUACUAGCA